rnacentral:rRNA from 1 species
GAGUUUGAUCCUGGCUCAGGACGAACGCUGGCGGCGUGCCUAACACAUGCAAGUCGAACGGAGUAUAUUGGAAGCUUGCUUUCAAUAUACUUAGUGGCGGACGGGUGAGUAACGCGUGAGUAACCUGCCUUGUAGCGUGGAAUAACGUUCCGAAAGGAACGCUAAUACCACAUAAUGUAGCGAGAUCGCAUGAUCAUGCUACCAAAGAUUUAUCACUACGAGAUGGACUCGCGUCUGAUUAGCUAGUUGGUGAGGUAAUGGCUCACCAAGGCGACGAUCAGUAGCCGAACUGAGAGGUUGAUCGGCCACAUUGGGACUGAGACAC